CUGUAAGCAAUUCUAAGUAAUAGUGGUUGACCGACACGAGGCACCACACAGUCGUUUUGUGGAUUCGCACAUGGUCACAUGUGCGUCAGGUUGAAGGAUGCCUACGAUAUGGAUAUAUAUAUCAGUUGAUAAUGAAUGCUAAACAAAGAAUUAUAAAGUUAAUCUGUUAAAUUUUGAUAGAAGAGAAUAUACUAAUAUAAAAGAUGUAACACUUGACCAACCAUUGAUUUAUUUAAGAAUAAAUAAAGGUAGCACCCGUGUAUAGACGUAUGUAUAGAUUCUUAUGGAAUCAGAAGAUUGAACUGCCAAGAUUGUUUCAAAUGUAUUCCAGCAGUAGUUAAUGAUAUCCAUAUUGCUCAUAUAUCACUGUUACAUUUCGUAAAUUAAAUUGGUGCUCAAAGUCUUUGGAUCUCCAGAAACCUAUGUACGGAUUUCGUGUUAUUCAACUAAACCUAUUCUCCUGUCAAGUAAAUCAUUAUAAAUCUUCUCUUAUGUUGGUAUGGUGAGUCUCUUUUUAUUAUCUUUAUUACAAGAUGCAUGUAAUCAUAUGUUUCCUUUUUAUUAUGGCGGAUUUAAAUGAUGUAAUGCGUGCCUUUGCCAAUGAAUGUUUACAAAUAACCAUGAUCCUGCUUGAUCCGAUAAGCCCUGUAUUAAAAGUAUAAUUAAAAACAUCGGACCAACGGAGUGAGAUCUCUAUUUAUAACGUGCCGCCUGCGUAUGGAAAAGAG